AGGGUUGCUGGAGGUAUCAGAAGUGCGAAUGCUGACAUAAGUAACGAUAAAGCGGGUGAAAAGCCCGCUCGCCGGAAGACCAAGGGUUCCUGUCCAACGUUAAUCGGGGCAGGGUGAGUCGACCCCUAAGGCGAGGCCGAAAGGCGUAGUCGAUGGGAAACGGGUUAAUAUUCCCGUACUUGGUGUUACUGCGAAGGGGGGACGGAGAAGGCUAUGUUGGCCGGGCGACGGUUGUCCCGGUUUAAGCGUGUAGGUGUGUGUUCCAGGUAAAUCCGGUUCACUUUAACACUGAGGCGUGACGACGAGGCACUACGGUGCUGAAGCAACAAAUGCCCUGCUUCCAGGAAAAGCCUCUAAGCAUCAGGUAACAUCAAAUCGUACCCCAAACCGACACAGGUGGUCAGGUAGAGAAUACCAAGGCGCUUGAGAGAACUCGGGUGAAGGAACUAGGCAAAAUGGUGCCGUAACUUCGGGAGAAGGCACGCUGACACGUAGGUGAAGUGAUUUACUCAUGGAGCUGAAGUCAGUCGAAGAUACCAGCUGGCUGCAACUGUUUAUUAAAAACACAGCACUGUGCAAACACGAAAGUGGACGUAUACGGUGUGACGCCUGCCCGGUGCCGGAAGGUUAAUUGAUGGGGUCAGCGCAAGCGAAGCUCCUGAUCGAAGCCCCGGUAAACGGCGGCCGUAACUAUAACGGUCCUAAGGUAGCGAAAUUCCUUGUCGGGUAAGUUCCGACCUGCACGAAUGGCGUAAUGAUGGCCAGGCUGUCUCCACCCGAGACUCAGUGAAAUUGAACUCGCUGUGAAGAUGCAGUGUACCCGCGGCAAGACGGAAAGACCCCGUGAACCUUUACUAUAGCUUGACACUGAACAUUGAGCCUUGAUGUGUAGGAUAGGUGGGAGGCUUUGAAGCGUGGACGCCAGUCUGCGUGGAGCCGGCCUUGAAAUACCACCCUUUAAUGUUUGAUGUUCUAACGUGGACCCGU
rnacentral:rRNA from 1 species